rnacentral:rRNA from 3 species
UGGUGGGUAGUUUGACUGGGGCGGUCUCCUCCUAAAGAGUAACGGAGGAGCACGAAGGUUGGCUAAUCCUGGUCGGACAUCAGGAGGUUAGUGCAAUGGCAUAAGCCAGCUUGACUGCGAGCGUGACGGCGCGAGCAGGUGCGAAAGCAGGUCAUAGUGAUCCGGUGGUUCUGAAUGGAAGGGCCAUCGCUCAACGGAUAAAAGGUACUCCGGGGAUAACAGGCUGAUACCGCCCAAGAGUUCAUAUCGACGGCGGUGUUUGGCACCUCGAUGUCGGCUCAUCACAUCCUGGGGCUGAAGUAGGUCCCAAGGGUAUGGCUGUUCGCCAUUUAAAGUGGUACGCGAGCUGGGUUUAGAACGUCGUGAGACAGUUCGGUCCCUAUCUGCCGUGGGCGCUGGAGAACUGAGGGGGGCUGCUCCUAGUACGAGAGGACCGGAGUGGACGCAUCACUGGUGUUCGGGUUGUCAUGCCAAUGGCACUGCCCGGUAGCUAAAUGCGGAAGAGAU